rnacentral:rRNA from 1 species
CCUACGGGAGGCAGCAGUGAGGAAUAUUGGUCAAUGGGCGAGAGCCUGAACCAGCCAAGUCGCGUGAAGGAUGACGGCCCUACGGGUUGUAAACUUCUUUUGUCAGGGAGCAAUUGGGUCCACGCGUGGGCUUAGCGAGAGUACCUGAAGAAAAAGCAUCGGCUAACUCCGUGCCAGCAGCCGCGGUAAUACGGAGGAUGCGAGCGUUAUCCGGAUUUAUUGGGUGUAAAGGGGGCGCAGACGGCGAUGCAAGCCAGGAGUGAAAGCCCGGGGCCCAACCCCGGGACUGCUCUUGGAACUGCGUGGCUGGAGUGCAGGAGGGGCAGGCGGAAUUCCUGGUGUAGCGGUGAAAUGCGUAGAUAUCAGGAGGAACACCGGUGGCGAAGGCGGCCUGCUGGACUGCAACUGACGUUGAGGCCCGAAAGCGUGGGGAGCAAACAGGAUUAGAUACCCCUGUAGUC